UACGUAGGUGACCAGCGUUGUCCGGAUUUACUGGGCGUAAAGAGCGCGCAGGCGGUCGUUCAAGUCGAGUGUGAAAGCCCCCGGCUCAACUGGGGAGGGUCACUCGAUACUGAUCGACUUGAAGGCAGGAGAGGGAAGCGGGAAUUCCCGGUGUAGUGGUGAAAUGCGUAGAUAUGUGGAGGAACACCGAUGGCGAAGGCAGCCCCCUGGGUUAACACUGACGCUCAUGCACGAAAGCGUGGGGAGCAAACAGG
rnacentral:rRNA from 1 species